GCAGAGCAUCCUACGGGAGGCAGCAGUGGGGAAUAUUGCACAAUGGGCGCAAGCCUGAUGCAGCCAUGCCGCGUGUAUGAAGAAGGCCUUCGGGUUGUAAAGUACUUUCAGCAGUGAGGAAGGUGGAUAUGUUAAUAGCAUAUUCAUUUGACGUUAGCUGCAGAAGAAGCACCGGCUAACUCCGNGCCAGCAGCCGCGGUAAUACGGAGGGUGCGAGCGUUAAUCGGAAUUACUGGGCGUAAAAGCGCAUGCAGGUGGUUUGUUAAGUCAGAUGUGAAAGCCCGGGGCUCAACCUCGGAAUUGCAUUUGAAACUGGCAAACUAGAGUACUGUAGAGGGGGUAGAAUUUCAGGUGUAGCGGUGAAAUGCGUAGAGAUCUGAAGGAAUACCGGUGGCGAAGGCGGCCCCCUGGACAGAUACUGACACUCAGAUGCGAAAGCGUGGGGAGCAAACAGGAUUAGAUACCCUGGUAG
rnacentral:rRNA from 1 species